GACGAACGCUGGCGGCGUGCUUAACACAUGCAAGUCGAACGCGCCUGUCCUCUGGGUUUCUGGGGGGUGGGUGAGUGGCGAACGGGUGAGUAACACGUGAGUAACCUGCCCCCUUCUUCGGGAUAACGGUCUGAAAGGGCUGCUAAUACCGGGUAUUCACUGGUCUCCGCAUGGGGUCUGGUGGAAAGGUUUUUUUCUGGUGGGGGAUGGGCUCGCGGCCUAUCAGCUUGUUGGUGGGGUGAUGGCCCACCAAGGCUUUGACGGGUAGCCGGCCUGAGAGGGUGACCGGUCACAUUGGGACUGAGAUACGGCCCAGACUCCUACGGGAGGCAGCAGUGGGGAAUAUUGCACAAUGGGCGCAAGCCUGAUGCAGCGACGCCGCGUGAGGGGUGGAGGCCUUCGGGUUGUGAACCUCUUUCGCCCGUGGUCAAGCCGCGACGUGGGUCGUGGUGAGGGUAGUGGGUAAAGAAGCGCCGGCUAACUACGUG
rnacentral:rRNA from 1 species